rnacentral:rRNA from 1 species
AUUGAACGCUGGCGGAAUGCUUUACACAUGCAAGUCGAACGAUGAACCUUAGCUUGCUAAGGGAAUUAGUGGCGAACGGGUGAGUAAUAUAUCGGAACGUAUCCAUUAAUGGGGGAUAACUAGUCGAAAGAUUGGCUAAUACCGCAUACGUCCUACGGGAGAAAGCUAGGGAUCUUCGGACCUGGCGUUAAUGGAGCGGCCGAUAUCUGAUUAGCUAGUUGGUGAGGUAAAGGCUCACCAAGGCGACGAUCAGUAGCUGGUCUGAGAGGACGACCAGCCACACUGGAACUGAGACACGGUCCAGACUCCUACGGGAGGCAGCAGUGGGGAAUUUUGGACAAUGGGCGCAAGCCUGAUCCAGCCAUUCCGCGUGAGUGAAGAAGGCCUUCGGGUUGUAAAGCUCUUUCGCAAGGAAAGAAAACUUACCCUCUAACAUAGGGUGAGGUUGACGGUACCUUGAUAAGAAGCACCGGCUAACUACGUGCCAGCCGCCGCGGUAAUAC